rnacentral:rRNA from 1 species
UACCUGCAGCUCGAGUGGUAACCGCUAUUAUUGGGCCUAAAGCGUCCGUAGCCGGUUUGGUAAAUAUCUGGGUAAAUCGUGAGGCUUAACUUCACGAAUUUCGGAUAGACUGCCAGACUUGGGAUCGGGGGAGGUCAGAGGUACUCCAGGGGUAGCGGUGAAAUGUUGUAAUCCUUGGAGGACCACCGGUAGCGAAGGCGUCUGACUAGAACGAGUCCGACGGUGAGGGACGAAGCCCUGGGGCGCAAACCGGAUUAGAUACCCGGGUAGUCCAGGGUGUAAACGAUGUGGGCUUUGUAUUGGAGGUCCCACGUGGGCGUCCAGUGCAGAAGAGAAGUUGUUAAGCCCGCCGCCUGGGAAGUACGGUCGCAAGGCUGAAACUUAAAGGAAUUGGCGGGGGAGCACAGCAACGGGAGGAGCGUGCGGUUU